rnacentral:rRNA from 1 species
UACGGGGGGGGCAAGCGUUGUUCGGAAUUACUGGGCGUAAAGGGCUCGUAGGUGGCCAACUAAGUCAGACGUGAAAUCCCUCGGCCUAACCGGGGAACUGCGUCUGAUACUGGAUGGCUAGAGAUUGGGAGAGGGAUGCGGAAUUCCAGGUGUAGCGGUGAAAUGCGUAGAUAUCUGGAGGAACACCGGUGGCGAAGGCGGCUAUCUGGACGGUUUCUGACGCUAAGACGCGAAAGCGUGGGGAGCAAACAGG